rnacentral:tRNA from 1 species
AGUUAGGAUAGCCUUGUAGGUGACGGGUUUUUGGCCCGAUGUUUGAGAAUUUCUUUGCCUAACUU